UCCCUGGUUCCUGACUCACUGAAACGUCUCCGGUCUUGCUGCUGGUGCCGUGGAGCAUGCUGGAUCUCUGCUCCCCCUCCUGCGCUGUCUGGAUCUGCCCGUGUGUUCUGGACCGGAGCUUGGUGCUGCGUGUUUACCAGAUAUAAUGCGCUACAGAUUCGCCAGUUGUCCUGAACUGCAUGAGGGGUAAAAUGUGCUGUGUCAGUUGAUCAACUACUGUCCCUGCAGCCAGACAGGAUAGCAGGCAGAGCAGCAGUGCGAGUCCUCC